GGUGGCAAGUUACUUUUGGCUACUUUGGAAGACCAAAUGGAAACAGCUUGCUCUGAAUGCAGAAAAGCCCGGACCCGGGGGAGAAGCCUGCUGCAAGGACCGUGAAGACACCGUCACCUCAGUGGUUAAUGGCCUAACUGGGAACACAUGAAAGCAUAUGGGCCAAGCAAACAGCACCACAUUUGGACUCUGUUGGCUGCAUAAAAAGACCCUGUCCCAGAACUUUAGACAGCUUGAGCUACGUAUGGCUGACAUUAUCCAAGAAAGCAUCCUUUCUUCCCCCCGCUGUACCAACGAGAGGGAUAGUGAUGAAAAACUUUUUAGAGCAGCAAAUGAAAAGUGAAAAGAAGAGCUUAGACUCCAGCAGAAGUUGUACUGUUCUUUCUAUCGAUGGCAUCGCUUCCUUCUCUAGAUUUGAUGCUGCCUCCCACCUGACAUCUUGCAUCAUACCCUCCUGUCUGUCAUCUCAAGGAUCACCUCUGGGGACCAUUCAUAGCACAAGACACUGAAACCAUCUCUACAAAUACAGAAUAUUGAAAACUCAA